rnacentral:rRNA from 1 species
GAUGAACGCUGGCGGCGUGCCUAAUACAUGCAAGUCGAGCGAAUGGAUUAAGAGCUUGCUCUUAUGAAGUAGCGGCGGACGGGUGAGUAACACGUGGGUAACCUGCCCAUAAGACUGGGAUAACUCCGGGAAACCGGGGCUAAUACCGGAUAACAUUUUGAACCGCAUGGUUCGAAAUUGAAAGGCGGCUUCGGCUGUCACUUAUGGAUGGACCCGCGUCGCAUUAGCUAGUUGGUGAGGUAACGGCUCACCAAGGCAACGAUGCGUAGCCGACCUGAGAGGGUGAUCGGCCACACUGGGACUGAGACACGGCCCAGACUCCUACGGGAGGCAGCAGUAGGGAAUCUUCCGCAAUGGACGAAAGUCUGACGGAGCAACGCCGCGUGAGUGAUGAAAGCUUUCGGGUCGUAAAACUCUGUUGUUAGGGAAGAACAAGUGCUAGUUGAAUAAGCUGGCACCUUGACGGUACCUAACCAGAAAGCCACGGCUAACUACGUGCCAGCCGCCGCGGUAA